GGUAUGCUCCUCUCCAGCUUUCUUGCCCCAGAGGGGGACACUAAUGGCCUGGUCACUCUUGGUAAGGUAGGUGAAGGAGAAGCCAUGGAUGCGCUCGCUGCUGUGGAUGGUGAAGCUCUCCAGCUUGCAUGGAUCGGCAUCUGGCCUGAUGUCCCGUGGUGCGCCGCUUUUGGCGCCCCACUUACCGACCUUGGCGGGCGAGCCUUUCACGUAGACGCCCAACGCCUUGAGGGUCACGUCUGAGCGGCCAAAGAAGGCGACCAACUCGCCUUUCCCCUGCGGCAGCGGCAAGCUGAACUCGCCUCCCUGCACCGGAUACCCGUAGGUCUUGUGCUUGGUCGUGUUCGUUUCUAGCGUGAGCGAUCCGAUGCCCUCAUUGUCGAAGGUGCCGCCCACGAGCUUGAGCUGCUCGCCUUCCCUCAUUUCAAUGGUGUUGGGAUUCCCGCUGUUGCUGCCCCAGAUGGCGCUCUUGACGCUGCUCCCCUGCUGGUCCACGUAUUUGAAGGAGAAACCUUUGAUGCCGCAUACCCCAGGAGAUUCGACGCUAUAGAUGGUGAUGCUCUCUAGGCGUUGGGGCCUGCUUUCGGCGUUGAUAUCCUGGGGGGAUCCGUCUGGUGCACCCCAUGCACCAACCUUCAUCACAACCUAAAUGCAUCACAAAUUCAUUAAUCAACAUCCUGCACAUGCAUUUCAUUUCUCUAUACAUGUAUACAUCCAUCCAACUCUAGCUAAUAGAUUCAUUGGUAUUUAAGCGUGCCAUGUUUGUAUAUAUAAAACAGCUACGGUAAAGAAAAAGAGGUUACAUGCACAUACUACCCAUAUUUCUUACCGCCAUCUUUUUCUGGAGCUACUUCAACUGCAAGUCCAACUCUGAAAUGUAUGUGUGUGUGAGAGUGUGUUGCGAUGGAUCGUAUGAUCAGGCAUGGCCGCCUAUUUAUAGCGAGUUUGCGCCCAACAAUGAUACUAUCUGCAUGCUACAGUUGGCAUCAAUUAGUCACAUAGGCUAUUAAUUGCAUGGAGUGAGUAUGUUACUAAUUAAUAGCUUAGACUUAUAGAGUCCGUUGGUUCAAUGAAUCCUAAGCCUAUGACACCCCGCUACCGACUAGAUCGUGAUGGCGCGCGUUGUGGCGCCGGACCAUUUUUUCAAUAGAUUGUUUGGAUUUUCUUACAAAUUUAUAUGGAGGCAACAAAAAGUAUCACAUUGUUACACCCCAUCCAUUCUGACAAAGCGACCAUAGAAAUAUUUAAAAACAUUGACGCUAGAAAUAUGUGAACUUCUUCACAAAAAAAAUCAAUUCAUUGCGGUUAUUAUAGUUGAGAAAUAUUUUCGAAUUCACAAGCUAGCUAGGUUAAUCCAAGUUUUUUAUCAUGUAUUCACAUCAAUCACAGCCAACAAAAGAAGCACAUAAUUCUUGUGCGGCUUGAUGAUCCGGUGUCCUCCUCUUUUACACACCAACAUGAUCCAGUUGGAGCAUGGGUGACCACACUGCUUGUUGGCCAGUGGUGAUUGUACUAUUCCAACUAAUUUGUGGUCACGGAUUGAGUCUGAUGCAUUCCCAUGGCGCCUAUCAAGCUACAGGUGGAUGAACCGUGCUGAUUGUACCGUUCCAAUUAAUUGGUGGUCACAAAAUGAGUCAGAUGCAUUCCCAUGACACCUAUCAAGUUAUAGUUGGAUUUCUCGUGCUGCAAGGCCUUCCGUAAUGCAUUGUAUCUUAGCGUGUUAUCCUAGGUAUGACUAGGAUCUAAGAAACAACCAUCCUAAUGCAUUGUUUCUUAGAGGUUGUAUCUAAAAUAAGUUGCAUUAAAUGUUUUGGGGCUAAUACUUGCUUGUGAUUGGGCUAGCAUCUUUUUUUGCCUAUGAUCUCGUGCUAGAGCCGUAUGUUAUAUAAGAUACAACUACACUCUCUUUCUUCAUUAACUAUGGUGCCACAUAAGCAAAUUGCCUAUGAUACCGCGCUAAGAUACUCUCAUUACGGAAGGCCUUAGUUGUUGGUUGCAAAAUGAGUCACGUGCAUUCCCGUUUACUUAGCCUAUGAAGCUAGCUACAGCUGGAUUAAUUGAUCAUGGUGCCUCUACUAUUCGAAUUUAUUGCUGGUCUAAAAGAGAGUCAAAUACAUUCCCAUGGCCUUGUUCUUAGGUUUUGCAUAUUCUCAGUCAAGUUUCUUCUUCUCCGUGCGAAGCGAUAUGGUGGAAGCCAUCAUGUUUCUCCAUCAGCAUGAUGAUUUACGCUUGGUUGAUGUUAGCGAGAUGGGCUCACUGUUCGCGGAAGUUAUCGUUGCCUCUCAUUUUCGAAAUGCUGGGUCUAGGUUGCUGGACACAUAUUGAGGAAUCGCAGCCCUCGCAGAACACACUACUAGAAAAAAGGCUGUUAGUGGCGCACAUGUUUUGGAUACUUAUGGCGCACUAUAGGUGCGCCACUAUUAUCACGCCACUACUAAUAAAUAGUAAUGGCGCACGCAUGGUGCGUCACUGUUAAUAUACAUAACAGUGGCGCAUCACCUGGUGUGCCAUUACUAGGCCUACAAGUGCGCCACUGCUGUGGGUUACUAAUGGCGUAUUUUUAGAUAAUGCGCCACUGAGGUGUUUAUUUAUGUGGGCCACUAAAAUGCAAUAUGGUGCGUCACUACUAUGAAUAUUAGGAAUUAUUUUUUUUGCUUUUCUGAUAUUUGCACAGGUUACAAAAUACAUUACAACACAGAAUAUAAACAGCACAACAUAUAAACAACAGAUUUAUCGAAUACAAUAAAAGAUUAGUCUCCGAAUACAAUUCAUCAUAGUGAUACAUAUAUAAGUGAUGUAGAAGUAAGUUAUACAUAUUCUAUACAAUAGUUUCAUAAAAUAUCAUGACAUCAUCUCGAAAAUAGCGAUACAUAGUGAUGUAGAAGUAAUCAUCAUAGUCAAUGAGACAUCAUAUAACAAAAGUUGGUCACUAGUCAUAACCACAACUCCUCCUCAUCAUCAUCGUCAACUCUAACACAUUGUAGCACAUCAUCACAUCAUCUCGGAAAUAGCUAAUAAUCAUCAUAGUCAUACCGCCAAUACUAUUUAAUAUCAUUUUCGUCAAUGAGACAUCAUAUAACAAAAGUUGGUCACUAGUCAUAAUCACAACUCCUCAUCAUCAUCAUCAUCAACUCUAACACAUCGUAGCACAUAAUAACACAUUGUACCUAGGACCUACUCCUCUGCUUAGGUAGAAUAUCAUAAAACAAGAUAGACCCUGACUCUCCAUUAUGAAGAAUGGAGAUGAUCUUGUCUCCAAUUCUUGGCCUAUGCACAAUGUUGCUUCCGAGUAGCUCUCUACGAUUGACCAUACAUUUUUUCCAAUCUUUGAUUGUCAUGACUUCAUCGGUUUUAGAAAUCCGGUAUGGACAGGAGUGAUGCAGAUACAUAGGCUGACCUGGCCGUGCUGGUCGUAUCAUCAUAACAUCAACGCGACCUCUUGGUAACAUCAGAUGAGGCACACAAUCUUGCGGGAUUUUCUGUUGAAAAACAUAGUAUUAGCUUUGUAGCUAGCAAUGUAGUUUAGUUUUACAAGAAUUUAUGCAAAAUAUGCAUGGAUGUCGUAAUAGUAGAAAAUCUUACCAUGCAAUCUCCAUGCAUGUUACCGUAGUUCACCACGUGCACUGGCGGCACAUAUUGACCAUAAUGUUGGGGAGUUUGCUGAUAGGUAUUGUAAUUCUCAAAAUUAUUGAUAAAUGCGACAAGAAGAUGUUUCACCUUACAAGUUAAUUCUGCUUCAUCAUUGUAGUAAUAGGUUCUGCCUACCAUUUUCCGUUCAUUUUUUGAAGAAUGAAAAUAAGAUAUCAAUGGAAAUAAGUUGUCAACUAUUUUUAAAUAAACAAUAUAAAUUACUUAAUAAAUGUGGUCGAGAAACUCACAUAAUGGUAGAACUGGAGGCGUACGCACAUCGACGAUAUUACCUUCAAUUUCAUCUUCCGGACGAAUAUCAAAGGUGAUAAGCAUAUUAGGCUCAAAUGCAUAAGCCUUGCAUAGUGCUACCCAAGUUUUGCAUUCAAAAAAGGAGUAGGUGUCUACAUUGUACAAUUUUACGGCAAAAGUAUAACCAUGCUCGGUCCUCAAGUGAACUAUCUUUACCUCCAUAUUUAUUUCAGUACUGAAACCAAUUUUAUCCAACACAUAAUGUCUUGCAUCGCAGGGGAUACGCUAGUAGAAUAGUAAAAAAUAAAAAUUAUAAGUUGAAGCAAAAGAAGUCAUGCUUAAUUACGAAUAAAGACUUGUCAUUGUGACUUACUAUAUCCACUUUAAAGUCCUCAUCCAGCAUGAUGCUGAAGCGCCUAUCAUCAACUAGGUAAGGCGUGUCGCAAAGGCCGUGCUUAUCUUGGUUGUAUUCGCACAUAACGAAUUCCUCUUCGUCGUCGGACAUUUCCUAAAAUAGAGAAAAUUUCGGCAUGACAUUUACUAAAAAGUGGACAUAUGGAGCGUCUGAAAUUUGCCGAAACGGAAAUGAAUCAACAUUCUGACAAAACAUAGGCCACUCGGAUAUAGCAACAAUGAACAAGUACAAAAGAUGCUGUAAAAUAGAGAAUAUUAUGAACAACAUCUCAUGCCUAACCAUAUUGCAAAAUUUCUUAUACCAAAACAUAGGCCACUCGGAUAUAGCAACAUUAUAAGUCUCUUAACCCCUAGAUGCAUUGGUAGACCCUCAUACCAAAAUUACUGAUAAACACUACUACUAUCUCCUAUCCACAUAUAUUACUUUAGAUGGAUUGAAUAACCUUUGGACAAACUUUAGGUGAAAAUAUUACUAUCUACUAUAGAGUUAGUAACUUAGACUAAUAAUUCUACGUAGUUGCACCAUUCAUCCAUCCAUCUAGCAAGCAACUAGCACCACUAAUCCAUCCAUCAAGCAAAUCAUAUAGGGAGUACUACCUACCGUCAGCAUACAUCCAUCUAUCCACCAUCCAUGUGUGUAACUAGUAGUACAAACUAUAUUUACAUUUCUGCCAUAUGAACACAUCUAUAAUAAAAUUAUUUCUGCCAUAUCAACACAAUACUAUCAAUACAUCUAUAUGAAAAUUUUGUCUGCCAUUUCAUCACAAUACAAUCAAUACAUCUAUAGAACACAUCAUAGCAAAUCAGAGGAGCUGCUCACAGGAGAAAACCACUUCCAAAAAAUCAGAGCCGGGCCAUGGGGAGGGGGGAUGAGGGUGGGGCGCCGUUCGCCGGAGUGGGUCGCCGGAGGGGCCGGACCGGGCCAGGAGCUCGCGGCGAGGGAGGGAUGGACCCGUAGGGAGGAAGGAGGCGUUGGGAUCGGGCCGAGGGAGGGGUGGAGCCCGUGGAGAGGGAGGAGUCGUCGGGUUUGGGCCGAGGGAAAGAUCGCCUGAGAUGGCCUCGGCGGCCGCGGCGACGGCGGUGGGGGGCGAACCCUAGAAGCAGCGAGCGACAGAGGAGAGAGAGGAGCCUGGUCGAGUGCGUGAGGAGCCUGGGGUCGGGUCGAGUGUGGGAGGAGCCUGGGGUCGGGUCGGUGGCAUUUUGCAUGUAAUAAGAGCAAAGAUUGUUAGUAGUGGCGCACCGUAGGUGUGGUGCGCCAUUACUAGUUAAAACUAGUAACGGCGCACUUUCCCCUGGUUCACCACUGCUAAGUCUGGAAAGGGUGUGGGACGAGGACAAAAACUAGUAAUGAGCACCGCACAACAGGUGCGUCAUUAGUAAUAUGGCAAAUAAUGGUGCACCUAUAUGUGAUGCGCCACUACAAUAUAGCAGUGGCGCAUCACAUACAUGAUGCGUCAUUAAUGUCCAUAUUAGCUAUAGCCGUUUUUCUAGUAGUGACAUGAUCACCAGCGACACUAGCAUAAGCUUGGGAAUGCAGUGUCUCGAGGGAUGGCAAACUUCAUAUAUUGUCCGAGGGAAGUUCCGGUGCAAGCACAUGAGGCGAGUGUCAAAACCAGAUUGCGAAGGGGCCAAUGCAUGUAUGUUUAUCUCUUAAGUUUCAACUUUGAAUGACAUGUUUAUUCUUAUCCUGAUGAUUGCAGUGGGCCACCCGCACUAGUAGGAAAUAUCUUAGCAGUGGCCUGGCAAUUUGGCCCUUAGUGGGCUGAUUCAGAACCGCCACUGAUUAUGCGACAGGUAAUGGCUACUGGUGGUGUGUGGGAUCACACGCUACUGAUAACAAGUUAUUAGUUGUGUGCUUUCGUUUGCGCACGCCACUGAUAAAACCAAUUCUAGCGGCGUGACCGUACAACGCACGUCACAAAUAUCUAUAGCAAGCGAGUGGCGAGCCAUUUAUGUCAUACACCCUUGCAAGAUAUAUGAAAAACAAAAAAAAUCAUGGACGACGAUUUGGUUGUCCUCUUAAAUCUCCACGAUGAUGCACGGGAGGGAAUCGCUCGGGUCGACGCCAGAUUCCCUCCGGCUGGCGCUGCCUACUAGUGAGAGGGGUGUGACCCAAACCUCACGUCGCAUAGCCGGGGACAAGUGCCAUUUGCACAUGCUUCGCUUGAUUGCAGCGGUCCGUAAUCUUGGAUAACCCGACAAAUAAUCAUAUUUGAGAAUACGAAAUGAAGCAGCAGUAAGUGUUCCACUGAUAAUAAAAAUGUUCAUUUAUGCUUAUGUAAUCAUAUUUUUGUUAUUCUACCCAAUUUACCUAAGGGCAUCCCAUUUAUGGUAUUUAGUAUAUCAGUUACUUGAUUUCCUAAUUAAUUGAAAUCCUUGUUAGCACUCUUCUCCAUGACUAUGAUACACUGCAUACAAGAAGUGUCUAGGUGCACCAAACUCGCGUAAUUCUUCUAUGUUGCGGAACAUGGUGGCCUGUUGGUAGAGAGGCACGUGAACAUUUCAUUAAUGCACCAUGUAUACAAUCUAUAAUGACAAUUCAUAUCCCAUGUUGCAUGUUUGUUUUUGCCAUGGCUUAUUAUUUGUCUUGGCACUAUGGAUUGGUUUUAUUUACUGAAUACAUGGAUGUGUAUGUUGUCAUUCCAAGCCAAUUUGUGUAUGUUAACCUUACUUUUUUUAUCUUAGUAUAUAUGCGACUUUCAAUAUUUAUUGACUAAUAUAAGGUUAUAUUUGUACAAGUAUAAUAUAUUUUAUGUGCCCAUAUAUAUUAUAAAAUCCUAACUAGGUGACUAUGAUACACUGCAUACAAGAAGUGUCUAGGUGCACCAAACUCGCGUAAUUCUUCUAUGUUGUGGAACAUGGUGGCCUGUUGGUAGAGAGGCACGUGAACAUAUGCACCAAACUCACCUUCCUUUUUUAUCUUAGUAUAUAUGUGACUUUCAAUAUUUAUUGACUAAUAUAAGGUUAUGUUUGUACAAGUAUAAUAUAUUUUAUGUGUCCAUAUAUAUUAAAAAAAUCCUAUCAAUUAUCGUAUAAAUAGACGGGCACGGCAACGAGCCAGCAACCCUUGUUCCUUGCUCGCGCUUAUGUGUAUGCACGCUGCACCCAGACCAGUCAAUCGGCUGGGUCUCUUCAUAUUGGACCUAGUCAAUCGAUCACCAUGCACGCGCGCCCCAUGGUUGGACGCAUGCACCCAAGAAGCCCAUCCAAUCCCUUCUCUUCUAGCUAUGCCCAUUCAUGCAGCCAGGCACGCCUUUGAUAGGUAGGGUGGUUUCGCCGGUUCGCCUGCGGACUUUGAUAGUUUUGGCCGUUUUUCCUAUAUGAGGACAAUUUUUUAGAUGGGUUCUUUUUACCGUCCCGUCUGAGGCUAUCACAAGAGGCCCGGCGGCGUCCGAGGUCACGGGUCCUGUGGAGCGGGGGACCGUCCCGGCUGGAUCUAACUUGUCGCACUAGGGUUGCAGCGGCGGCGCUCCCACGGGCGAAGAAGACGAGCAAUGCAUCUUGUCGGCGAGGAGACUCGUCGGCGCAACAGAUGGAGGACCAGAGCCUCAGCCGCCUUGCAAACUCAUCUCCUGCUAUCAAGCCAAGAGUCGUUGGUAGGACGGGAUGCUAGUAGGGGUCCUGGCAGAACCUGCUCCGGUUCGUCUAGGCUGAUCUGAGGGAGCGCAUGAGAGAGAGGAGGGGGAGGGAGGGAGGGAGGGAGAGAGAGAGAGAGAGAGAUAGAUAGAGAGAGAGAGAGAGAGACUGACUGAUGGGGCAGGGUCGGUUGACCCGAGCCAGCCCACUUAAGUGGAUGGACCCACUGUCAGAAGGGCAGAAGGGUAAUUUGAUAAAUCUAGUUAAAUUCAAAUAACGUUCAAACUUCAAUGAUUUGCUCACAAAAUUCUACACACCCAAAAAUAAAUAAAAAUAUGCUACACACUCCUAAAUUUAUGAGCAAAUUUAAUAUAACUUUUGUUUUGUGCUUAAAGAAAACUUUUCUUUCAAUGAAAAAUUCAAAGAUCCUUAAGUGGAAAUGAUUUGAAAUUAUUUUUAUUAAAAUUAAUUUCUUGAGGAAAAUAUAUGGGAAACUUUUUAUAAAGGUCAAUUAUAUGAACUACUUGAAUUUCAAAUCAUAACAAGUUUAUUCCUCAUUAUAAAUGUUUAUGAAACCCUAAUAAUACACAUUUACUUAGGAAAAAUUCUCAAAAACACUUUUAAAUCAAAUUUUGGGGAUUAAAAAAGGGCAUCUCAUUAUAUGCAUAAUAGUAUGAAUUUGGAUAUUAAACAUUGUCGUAUCAGACAAUGAUGCUGAUUUUCAGAACCCGAAGUUCGCGGGUCACUCAAAGAUUUAGACUUCACUUUAUCUCAGUCUCAAGGAAAGUUCAUUCUUGCAUAUCAACUAAAGUAUUUUACUACAGUACUUUUAAAAACUUUAUUUUAUUUCUGCUUGAUUGAUUGGUUGGUGAAACGACAGACUGAUUGUUGUGGUGGAGGUCACAUCCUACCGGAAAGUUAGGACUAAUAACAAUUGUUCCACGGCUUAUAGAGCGCCGUAUUUAUGCGUCAACCAAAGGUUCUGGUAUGGGCCGGAAGGGUCAUAAGUAUCUUCUUCCUUAUAACAUAUUCUCGGAUACGCUGCCUGGUUGGGUCAUUGAUACAACCAACGUGCGUGGGAACGCCGUGAACUUUCCCCGACGGGUCCGAUGAAGGUAGUGAUGUCUCGGGUGGGGUGACAGAGAUGGAUUGGGGCCCACGUAGGCCAGGGAUCUGAUCUGUCACGACAAGGGCGAAUGUGUGGGGUUGAAGAAUACUCGGAAUGUAUCCAAGAAUCUCAGACAUGACAAACCACACUCUGGAGUGUGAAACUUGUAUCAGGGGUAAUGCUACUUUUGGGAAAGGUGGCGCACCUGUGCAGAGUGUAUCAAAUUGUGACAGUUACAUCCGUGUUCCCGAAAGAAACUAUGUUCGCGGUGGAAAAGGAACCUUAACUGAUUCUCAAACCCGUGAGGGCUGACUAAACUUGUUGUGUGACCCUCGUUACUCAACCCAUCCAUUGACCCUUUGCUUAGAUUUUGAGGAGGUCAACAAUGAUGUCAACGAUAAGAGCACCAAAGGCCCCAGGAAUUCUAGUACGAAGCGCCAGAUCUAUGCGCAGGAGUAGAAGGAGUCGACUACAUCAUCGCAUACGGAACUGAUGACAAUAGAGAAGAUGAAUCAGAGGAGUAACUGAAAGUGAGACUAGACUAGUAUUAGAAGGUAACCUAGUCGAGCAGCUCUAGUAUCUAAAUUGUUGGGCUAUCAUGUUUCUCAGUUAGCUUUUACAAGUGUUAGGUCAACUAUCUCAAGUUGAGUACGUACCGUUUGAUCUUUAUUUGAUGUCUGAGGAAGAGGUUGAACAGUUUAUGCACUUUUGGCUUGUAAUAUUAAGCGUUCUGUAAUAUUAGUGGACCGCAAUAUUUCUGUUGUACUACUCUGAGGGAUGUAAUAUUUAUGCAGAAGGACUUCCAUGAGUGUUAUGUCAAUGAAUUGUGCACUACGCAUGCAGGGUUGUACGGGGUCACCGUGCCACCCCUCUUGUCGCCGACGAGACUGUCAGACGUGAGAGGAGAGGGGGACAGGGGCGGCGGCGCUAGGGAAGCCUUAGCUUGGUGGGGUGAGAGAGUACCCGUUUGUGACUGACCCACUUCUGUCCAAAUCAUAUGACCUAUUUUUUGGUUCUCAAGUAAAAGUGACCAUUUAUAGAUUACUAUUAGAAUGCACGUGCGUUGCUACGGGCUACAAUGUAUGUAAAUAAAUUAAAAAAUAAAUAAAUAAGGUCAUCUUCAAGGUCGAGGUUUAUUUCUCACUCGUACGUUCGAGCGUGUUCAGACAUCAAACAGGCACACUGUCUACAAACUCCGGGCUCCCUCAAAUAGAGUCCAUGUGUUAGGGAGAAUGUGGUUGUCCAGACUAUGCACAAUGUUAUCUCCAAACAUGCGAUCCCGACUCAAAAACGUCACCCCAUGACGCGCUCUUCCAUUUUCAUGCCGAAUUCUCCCCUUGUCCCUCGGUUUCCCUCCGUAGCAGGACAAUUCUCAUUGGAGCCCUCUUCUUUAAAAUCGGAUGACACCCAUCUCACCUUCGUCAUGGCUUCCUAUUUCCUUCACACCCUAAUUCCGCAUGCAUCGCCAAGGAGGAGUCCCCCACUAGCUAUCCCGCUCUCCUUCCUAAUCACCACCCCUAGUAUUCAUGUUGAUAUACCACCGGCAUCAAAGAGGCCGAGGUUUGCGCCGCCUAUGAUGCCCGCGAACCAAUAAGGAAGAUCCGAUGUCUCAUGUGCCAUUGUUACCGUGUCCUUUAUUAACUCAUGAAGCAAAACCGCUUGCUCAUGCAAUUUGCUCUACAACUUCGUUAAAAUUGAAUACUCCAAUCGAGCCAUCUGGAACAAAUCGCACUACAGGAUCAACACCGCAAAUCAUUACCGACAGAAACUUAUACAACAAGCAUCAUUUGGUUAAAAUAAAACACCACACCUAAAGAAAAUGCGAUCAUUUGACAUAUACACCUCCACCAUCACUUACAGUCAUAGCCGCUCCAUACUACAAUGACAUCAUGUGCAGCGUGUCCGUACUACGCUGAUGACUCAGAAUCUCCUUCACUGCGGUUAUCUACACAAUCGAUUACUACGCCGGUCUUCUUCAGGUAAUGAACCUUGGUGUGGUCUUGCAGGAGAUUGUGCCGACCCCAGCUUGUCAUGUUCUUCUACUUUCAGUAGAGCAUCAUGUUUGAGCUAAGAAUGAGGCCUUCAAUCUGACCAAAGGAAAUUCUCAAGUAUGGUCAGGAGAUAAUACUUGUGGCACUAAAACUAUGCUCUUGCGAGGAACUUUGGAAGUGCAUAUUUAUCGAACUGAUAAAUGUUCUGCUACAGACCAUAGCAUAGAUGCUACGUCUACUGCUCCCCUGAAAUGGCAUGAGAUGAUUGUGCCAUUUCGCAUUACAGGAAUAUAAGCUGACUAACUGCUAGUGAGUAAGAUAUAUGUAGCGCGUAGCAAACCCCCUACAAUGUACAUUCCUUCUUUUUUAUAUCACACUACAAAAAUAACAGUGCAAAAUAAAUAAAAAUAUGUAGCAAAUUGGAUGGCAGCCUGCAAAUAUUCUUGUAACUUAACAAGAAAGUAUGUGACAUAUCACGUUAUAUAUUUUCUUCAAGCAGAUAUGGACAAAGAACAUGUUGUAUAUUGUCCCAAAUCUUCCGGGCAGAGGGUAUUGCCUUUCUGAAAAGUACUCAAGACCAUAUUUGUUCUGUCAAAGUAACUACUAUUGACAUGAAUGAAGAGGUCAUCAAAAAUAUGAAUGAACGUCUUUGAAAAUAAAAUUUCAUCAGAUAGUACAUAAAGAAAUAUUGUUUUGAAAUAUACUCUGUUCUGGCUAGCAUAUGGUCUCCUCAUGUUCAUUGAGAGGUCACAAAUCAGCGGUGAAAAUAUGUUGCAUGAGAAAGGAUAGUGCACGUUUUUUAAACGCUAAAAAUACAUCCCACCAUGUGUUGGAUGCUUUAUUGAGGAGGUUGCACAUGAGGAGAACAUGACCGGCGACCAGCCUCGAUCUCGCUCGGCCAUGCAGGACAUGUCGGCGUCGGCGUCGGGCGGGACGGGGCGAUGCGUGAGGCCAUGGCGACGGGGUUGGUGGGGGCGCGGCAGCACCUGGAUGGCCGGGCCGAAGCGGAGGAGCGGCGGUAGGAAGGGGAGGCAGGGAAGGAAAGAGGUGGUGAUUGGGGUGCGACGGCGAAGGACGUGCUUAGGUUUCAUCCUGUUCUUUUUUUCUCCAUCGGUUUUGUGGGGGGGGGGGGGGGGAUGGAGUCAGAGGUGGGAUAAAAAAAAGAACGAAGAUAAGCCGGGAGCGGUAGCUACCAACUCCCCAAUUAGGAAUAGAGAUACCAAUCUCAAAAAUCAUUGUUACCAGUUCCUCGCGAUCAUAUUAGCUUACACCGCUGAUGUAAGUGGAUUAAGCCCUAGGUGUCAUAAGGAUUGAUUUUCAACAUUUGAAAGACAAGAUCGCCACUAAGACUUUUUUUUCUUACAAGAACGUAAAAGCCUCCAGUGCCAUGUUACAAAAUGUUCAGCACCUCAUAAUUUUUUUUCCUUCAGCAAAUCUCUUCACGGUGAAAAUAUUGUGUUCUCUUGGCAGCAAAAACCUCGCAAAGAAAGUCCAAAUUAAAUGUAUAGCAUCUAGCCUGUCCAUGGACGAAUCACCGUUUUUGGAAGUUCGACGUCUCCGUUUUCCUACGAACAGCUAUAGUCAAGUAGCAUGAAACAUAUAUAUACAAGAUACUCCAAAAUCGACAGAUAAUUUGGAACAGACGGACUAAUAAUUAAGUAAUUCAACCGCUCAUCAGAAGAGAUGACGUCGUCGUGGCACUGGGUGUCGGCAUUGUUGGCGGCGUAUGGUUGGCCCGUACCCGAGGCCUCGGCAACAUCAUCGUAGGCGCUGCACUUCUUGGUGAUGGUCUUAUGAUGCUUGGAUGGUGGGGCAGUGGCACCCUUGUGCCCCACCUUGCGGCGGCGCUCCUCCUCCAGCCUUGGAGGAGUCUCCGAAGACUUCUGAACCAAAUGGUACGUCUCCUCAAGCCUCCGAUCGUCAGCUUCAUAAUCACUAAGACACAGUGUCCACGAUGAAUCGGAUGUGGCCGAAUCAGUGUCCUCGACCAAAUUGGACGACGAGCCGGGGGGACGGCAAUGACCGAGGAGUCGCGCUUGGCAUUAGCAUGUGGUAAGCAGUUGGGGAUCCUGCUGGCCUGUGCUGGACCAUCUUAUUGGGGGGGGGGGCAUCGCCUCCGCCGGUGAGGGAAUGGACUCAGAAUUUGGUAUCUCAUCGACUUUUUGGACUUGUAGCGACGUAGCGCACGGCUCUGGCGGCGGCACUCGUACAAAUAGGCAAGAGUGGAGAGGCGGGAAAGCAGCGAAACGGCGGGGAGAAGAAGCGGGAAGGUGGCGGAACGGCGGAAAAAGGAGGCGGGAAGACAGAACAAUAUAAUGGCGGGAACAUGAGGUGAUCCUUGUUAAUGAUAUUGUGAAGGCGUGAACGAUAUGGUCAAACUACGAAGACGGAUAAGUUGAAAUAACCGUGUGCGAUAUUUCGCACACGAUUAGUCAUGAAAAAAAUCGUGUGCGAUAUUCUAUACAAGGAACACGGCUGCAGAAUUCGGUAACGGCUUUAAAGUUGUUGUGUAACCGACGUGCAUGUCACAACGCACACGGAAUGCUACAUCCGUGUGUGAUGGGAGGGUGUAAUUCGUUUCUUAUUAUUGAUAACAAGGGAUAAUAUUGCAGAUAUAGUAAAGUCUACAAAAGCCAAUUGAAAACAUAUGUGUAUGGAGCUCAGGGAAGAUUACUUGUAAAUUAUCGUGACAAAUUAUUUGUAACAAUUACUUUAGGUGUAGGCUUGGCAUCACUAUCAGUCUGUGGUUCAAUAUUAUUAUUGUGUACGUCCUUUUCAUCUGUCUUAACACUAUCCAUUUUCUUAUGAGGGAUGUUGAUGAUGUUGCUAAAAAGAGCCUCACCUACAUUCUUUUCCAUGUGCAUAACAUAAACGUUACGGGGAAGUUUUAGGUCCUUGGAGUGGGGGAGUGUAAUGUUGAUAUGUUGAUACCGUGCUAAAACUUUAGGAUGUAAAAGCAACGGAGCAGAUACAUGUGUGUAAGGAAACGGGUGGUACAACUUUAUUGCAAGCCAUGGGCGCACAUUAUUACAUGCACAUACACAAACACACACAUUACCCUUGAAAGUAGGUAGAUCGAGCUGCAGCCCGCAAAGUGGGACCCCAUCGUCCUUAUUCACCACGUACAAACACACACAUAGCCAGCUAGCAUAGCAUGCAGCUGGGGUUUAAUUGGAACGUACAUACGUGCUAGGAUCUGCAGGUACGUACGUGUGGGAUCGAUGGGAUAGAGUAGAGCUGCUAGCAAGGUGGAUGGUUCAUUCGGGCGCGACCCCGACGUAGGUGCCGAUGGCGACGAGCCUAUCCCCGGAGCUGCCGAAGAAGGCGACCGCGGCCGCAUCAUCCAGUGCACCGUUGUCCGGCAGCGGCACGCUAAAGGUCUUAGUCCCUGCAGAUGGGUUGCGCCCGAACGUGUGCGAAGCCCCCUGGUUGGUGUCGAAAUUGAGGAAGGUGAUGCCAUAGGUGUCGUAAGCGCCGGUGAUGCUGCUCACGUACUCGCUUUGGUUCAUGAAAAUCUGCACCACAUCACAAGCAUGCAAAAACUAACUAAGUAUACUUGUAUAGUAGACAAGUAGAAAGGAAAUUAAUUAACGUACGGUAUGCUCCUCUCCAGCUUUCUUGCCCCAGAGGGGGACACUAAUGGCCUGGUCACUCUUGGUAAGGUAGGUGAAGGAGAAGCCAUGGAUGCGCUCGCUGCUGUGGAUGGUGAAGCUCUCCAGCUUGCACGGAUCGGCAUCUGGCCUGAUGUCCCGUGGUGCGCCGCUUUUGGCGCCCCACUUACCGACCUUGGCGGGCGAGCCUUUCACGUAGACGCCCAACGCCUUGAGGGUCACGUCUGAGCGGCCAAAGAAGGCGACCAACUCGCCUUUCCCCUGCGGCAGCGGCAAGCUGAACUCGCCUCCCUGCACCGGAUACCCGUAGGUCUUGUGCUUGGUCGUGUUCGUUUCUAGCGUGAGCGAUCCGAUGCCCUCAUUGUCGAAGGUGCCGCCCACGAGCUUGAGCUGCUCGCCUUCCCUCAUUUCAAUGGUGUUGGGAUUCCCGCUGUUGCUGCCCCAGAUGGCGCUCUUGACGCUGCUCCCCUGCUGGUCCACGUAUUUGAAGGAGAA
rnacentral:lncRNA from 1 species